rnacentral:rRNA from 1 species
AACGAACGCUGGCGGCAUGCCUAACACAUGCAAGUCGAACGAGACCUUCGGGUCUAGUGGCGCACGGGUGCGUAACGCGUGGGAACCUGCCCUUAGGUUCGGAAUCACUCCCCGAAAGGGGUGCUAAUACCGGAUAAUGUCUUCGGACCAAAGAUUUAUCGCCUUUGGAUGGGCCCGCGUUGGAUUAGCUAGUUGGUAGGGUAAAAGCCUACCAAGGCGACGAUCCAUAGCUGGUCUGAGAGGAUGAUCAGCCACACUGGGACUGAGACACGGCCCAGACUCCUACGGGAGGCAGCAGCGGGGAAUAUUGGACAAUGGGCGAAAGCCUGAUGCAGCAAUGCCGCGUGAGUGAUGAAGGCCUUAGGGUUGUAAAGCUCUUUUACCCGGGAUGAUAAUGACAGUACCGGGAGAAUAAGCUCCGGCUAACUCCGUG